CACAAAACUAGCCAGUACAAGUGACC
rnacentral:misc_RNA from 1 species